GACACUGUGGUGCAGUGAUUUGAGCAUUAGACUAUGACUCUGGAGACCAGGGUUCGAUUCCCUGCUCAGCCA